rnacentral:rRNA from 1 species
AACGAACGCUGGCGGCAUGCCUAACACAUGCAAGUCGAACGAGACCUUCGGGUCUAGUGGCGCACGUGUGCGUAACGCGGGGGAACCUGCCCUUAGGUUCGGAAUAACUCCCCGAAAGGGGUGCUAAUACCGGAUAAUGUCUUCGGACCAAAGAUUUAUCGCCUUUGGAUGGGCCCGCGUUGGAUUAGCUAGUUGGUAGGGUAAAAGCCUACCAAGGAGACGAUCCAUAGCUGGUCUGAGAGGAUGAUCAGGCACACUGGGACUGAGACACGGCCCAGACUCCUACGGGAGGCAGCAGUGGGGAAUAUUGGACAAUGGGCGAAAACCUGAUCAAGCAAUGCGGCGUGAGUGAGGAAGGCCUUAGGGUUGUACAGCUCUUUUACCCGGGAUGAUAAUGACAGUACCGGGAGAAUAAGCUCCGGCUAACUACGUG